AUUGCCUCAGUAACGGCGAGUGAAGCGGCAACAGCUCAAAUUUGAAAUCUGGUCCCAGGCCCGAGUUGUAAUUUGCAGAGGAUGCUUUUGACAAGGUGCCUUCCGAGUUCCCUGGAACGGGACGCCAUAGAGGGUGAGAGCCCCGUCUGGUCGGACACCGAGUCUCUGUAAAGCUCCUUCGACGAGUCGAGUAGUUUGGGAAUGCUGCUCUAAAUGGGAGGUAUAUGUCUUCUAAAGCUAAAUACCGGCCAGAGACCGAUAGCGCACAAGUAGAGUGAUCGAAAGAUGAAAAGCACUUUGAAAAGAGAGUUAAACAGCACGUGAAAUUGUUGAAAGGGAAGCGUUUAUGACCAGACUUGGCCCGGUUGAUCAUCCAGCGUUCUCGCUGGUGCACUCUGCCGGUCCAGGCCAGCAUCAGUUCGCUGCGGGGGAUAAAGGUUUCGGGAAUGUGGCUCCUCCGGGAGUGUUAUAGCCCGUUGCGUAAUACCCUGUGGUGGACUGAGGUCCGCGCUUCUGCAAGGAUGCUGGCGUAAUGGUCAUCAACGACCCGUCUUGAAACACGGACCAAGGAGUCGUCUUCGUAUGCGAGUGUUCGGGUGUAAAACCCCUACGCGUAAUGAAAGUGAACGCAGGUGAGAGCUUCGGCGCAUCAUCGACCGAUCCUGAUGUUCUCGGAUGGAUUUGAGUAAGAGCAUACGGGGCCGGACCCGAAAGAAGGUGAACUAUGCCUGUAUAGGGUGAAGCCAGAGGAAACUCUGGUGGAGGCUCGCAGCGGUUCUGACGUGCAAAUCGAUCGUCAAAUAUGGGCAUGGGGGCGAAAGACUAAU
rnacentral:rRNA from 1 species